rnacentral:rRNA from 1 species
AUGGAGAAGCUUAAGCUGGGCGACGCCGCCUCCUCCACGCGAAGCAACAUCGAGGCUCAGCAGCCUGAGCACGAACCGGGGCAGCCACCGCAGACGGAGGACGUGGACGAGAUCUUCCGGAAGAUGAAAGAGACGGGGCUGAUACCCAACGCCGUCGCCAUGCUCGACGGCCUCUGCAAGAACGGAUUGGUGCCGGAGGCCAUGAAGCUGUUUGGUCUGAUGCGCGAGAAGGGCGCCAUCCCAGAGGUGGUCAUCUACACCGCUGUUGUCGAGGCCUUCUGCAAAGCAGCCAAGCUGGACGAUGCCGUCAGGAUCUUCAGGAAGAUGCAGGGCAACGGGGUCAUUCCAAAUGCCUUCAGCUACUGGUUGAUUAUACAGGGUCUGUUCAAGGGCGACAGACUGGAUGAGGCGGCUGCUUUCUGUGUGGAGAUGUUCGAGGCUGGGCAUUCCCCGAAUGCUGCAACGUUUGUGGGUUUGGUUGAUGCAGUAUGCAAGAUGAAGGGGGUAGAGGAGGGUGACAAGCUUGUGAGGAGCUUCCAGGAUAGGAACUUUGCCAUUGAUGAGAAGUCCAUCAGGGAACAUUUGGACAAGAAAGGGCCAUUCUCACCGAUUGUUUGGGAGGUAAUCUUUGGGAAGAAAAAAACAAGCCGCCCAUUUUGA